CUAACAAACAUAAUAAAACAGCAUGUUAUGUAUGUGGCGGUGCCCGACCCCACCUUGGCACCGUCCCCCUAACUCUCCCUUUAGAGAUAGAAGAUUGCUUCUUAAGCCUUUUUGCCUACCAAUAUGACUUUAAUAGGUCCCUCUGCAUGGCAUGGACGGCAGAGUACCCUCUCUUAGUUGAAAAUGUUAAGCCACCAGAUGGAAUCACAGUCUAUAGAGGUAAUUACACUUGUUAUGCCGUGUAUGACGGGAUUGGUAAAUUCAUGGGUAACUUUUCUAAAGGUUAUUGCGCCACUUACAGAACUGUUCCUAUACGCCUGUUGCAACACCAUACCAGGUCAUUGGGGGAUAUUUACUGGUUAUGUGGGGAUCUACAGUUAAGAUCUAGGC